GAUGAACGCUGGCGGCGUGCCUAAUACAUGCAAGUCGAGCGAAUGGAUUAAGAGCUUGCUCUUAUGAAGUUAGCGGCGGACGGGUGAGUAACACGUGGGUAACCUGCCCAUAAGACUGGGAUAACUCCGGGAAACCGGGGCUAAUACCGGAUAACAUUUUGAACCGCAUGGUUCGAAAUUGAAAGGCGGCUUCGGCUGUCACUUAUGGAUGGACCCGCGUCGCAUUAGCUAGUUGGUGAGGUAACGGCUCACCAAGGCAACGAUGCGUAGCCGCCCUGAGAGGGGGAUCGGCCACACUGGGACUGAGACACGGCCCAGACGCCUACGGGAGGCAGCAGUAGGGAAUCUUCCGCAAUGGACGAAAGUCUGACGGAGCAACGCCGCGUGAGUGAUGAAGGCUUUCGGGUCGUAAAACUCUGUUGUUAGGGAAGAACAAGUGCUAGUUGAAUAAGCUGGCACCUUGACGGUACCUAACCAGAAAGCCACGGCUAACUACGUGCCAGCAGCCGCCGUAAAAC
rnacentral:rRNA from 1 species